UUUCCCCUUAUAGUUUAAUGUGUGUUUCCUUCUGUGUUCUUCACCUUUAUUACAGAGUGAUAGGCAGCUCAGAGAAAGCAAGGGUAGAGAGACCGGCGAUGAACAGGUAAACAAACUAAUGGUGCACUACUAGAGUCUGGCCAGCAGAGGAGGCAAGUGUAUCUACCCUGUGUCCCAGCUGAGAGAGAGGAGUUCCACCCCCAGGCAUCAUGAUGAGCUAGGACAGGGCCAAGUAUUUCAGAACUACCCAGCUGGAUAAACAUGGAAAUGCAUUCUUCUGCAGAG